rnacentral:rRNA from 1 species
GGAAUAUUGGGCAAUGCUCGCAAGAGUGACCCAGCCAUGCCGCGUGCAGGAAGAAGGCCUUCUGGGUUGUAAACUGCUUUUGGAAGAGAACAAAACGGGCGUGCGCGCCAACUUGAGUGUAUCGUCAGAAUAAGCACCGGCUAACUCCGUGCCAGCAGCCGCGGUAAUACGGAGGGUGCAAGCGUUGUCCGGAUUUAUUGGGUUUAAAGGGUGCGUAGGCGGCUUAUUAAGUCAGGGGUGAAAGACUGCAGCUCAACUGUAGCAGUGCCUUUGAUACUGAUGAGCUUGAGUACAGAUGAGGCUGGCGGAAUGGGUGGUGUAGCGGUGAAAUGCAUAGAUACCAUCCAGAACACCGAUUGCGAAGGCAGCCGGCUAAACUGUAACUGACGCUGAGGCACGAAAGCGUGGGGAUCGAA